rnacentral:lncRNA from 1 species
AUUGUGCUUUUUCAAUAUAUAUAUUGUCUAUCUUACGUGAUUUACGGUUGAUUUGUGAAAUUAAAAAUUAAUAUACAAAUGAGAAAUUAUUUGGCCAUGUGAAUUAAUGAAUGAUAGUCUUACUGGAUAUCCUGAGAGAUUGUGGGCAGACUAGGGACAUAAGGAACCUUACCGUGAACGUUGCCUCAUACCGGAUGAAGUAUCGAGGAAUGGUAUUUUGGGUGUUCAUACCGAAGGGGGUAUGGGAUGAUCCAAUUCAUCCUCAUAUCGGACGAAGUAGUGAGGGAUGGUAUUUUUGGUACUAAUACCAAACGGGGUAUGGGGACAACCGGUUAGUUGACAAUAUUGGAUAUUGGUUCACGCAUAGUGGAACAUCCUUAUGGACCCCCAGGGAUAC